CAGCCGCCGCGGUAACACGUAGGUGGCAAGCGUUGUCCGGAAUUAUUGGGCGUAAAGGGCUCGCAGGCGGUUUUUUAAGUCUGACGUGAAAGCCCCCGGCUCAACCGGGGAGGGUCAUUGGAAACUGGGAAACUUGAGUGCAGAAGAGGAGAGUGGAAUUCCACGUGUAGCGGUGAAAUGCGUAGAGAUGUGGAGGAACACCAGUGGCGAAGGCGACUCUCUGGUCUGUAACUGACGCUGAGGAGCGAAAGCGUGGGGAGCGAACAGGAUUAGAUACCCCUGUAGUCCCUGUCUCUUAUAC
rnacentral:rRNA from 1 species